rnacentral:rRNA from 1 species
GUUGACCUCGGAUCAGGUAGGAAUACCCGCUGAACUUAAGCAUAUGAAUAA